GCGUUCCUGGAUGUCAGCAACUCCAGGCACCUCAGCUCAUUCAGGAGUUAAGGGUUGUUCUGCUUUGCUCAUUUGAAGACGGAAAAAGCCUAUCUUUCCAUGGGCCCCUACAAGUACUUACGUUGGUAAAACCAAGAAGAAAAGUGAUAGUGCCUGAGUUGGCUGCACAAGGACAGAAGGGGAAAGAAAAGACAGGUGCAUUUGAAGUAGAAGACAGCGGUGGACAUCAGAGAAAGCAUGUGCAGGGCUGGACUCUCAAGCUGCUGAGGCCCUGCUUAAAAUGAGGGCAUCGCGCAAUGAAGUCAUGAAUGAGACUCAGGUGUGCCCCACGAGUGUGCCUGUGGGAAGAAGGGCUCUGACCAGGUCUGCGUUCCAGAGGUGGCCCGUCCCCACCAGCCAACACAUCAAUCUAAUUGGCCGCAAGGAGAAACCCUGGUAUGUGGUUU